CGUGGUAGUUCAACGGAAGAAUGCUGGCCUGAAGCACCAGCGACGAUGGUUCGACUCCAUCCCACG
rnacentral:tRNA from 1 species